rnacentral:misc_RNA from 1 species
AAGUCGUAACAAGGUUUCCGUAGGUGAACCUGCGGAAGGAUCAUUGCAAAAGAGAGAAAAAGAGUGAGAAAUUGGUUGGAAUGUGCAGAGAAAUAGAUUUAUUGACAAUUUUUUACUAAUUAUAUUACAACUCUCCACAAUGGAUCUCUGGGCUCUU